CGAAUUUAAAAUUUUAGCUGUUAAAUGAGUGAAACUCUUUGCCAUGUAAUUACUGGGUAAGUAUAUAUGAAGUCUUACUUUUAUAUAAAAAUUUAAAUUUUACUCAUAAAUCAUUAGAUUUAUACUCUCUUGAACCUAUAGUGUGUGAGCCAAGUUGUACUGAAACCUUAAUGGCAGGGAAGGGGAGUAGGGUGGGCAGACUGAUCAUCAUUCUCAUGCUAAGCCCCCCUCUGACCCUUAGGGAUAAAUAUGAGGUAGGCUCUUCUUACACUUUACUUUUAUGGGAAGUGUCAUGUUCCUCUGUUUUAGAUGUUUUUACACAAAGAAGGUACAGUAUAACCCAUGACCUUACUAAAAAAAGACCUUGUCUAGGUCAUUACUCCUUGUUAUUCUCAAGACUAUAGGAUAAAUUUUCCUUAAAGUAGCAGUUACUGGUUCUGUGACCCUCUUACAUUUCCAAGAAAUUUUUUAAGCCCCAAAUAUUGGGUUUGUUUUUAAACAAAUGUAAGUUUUUAAAAAUACAUAAGUUUCUUUUACAUAAAGACCCAUCACUUUACAAAACAUUGGCCACCUCCCUAUCCACUCUGAUUGCAGCUGGUUCAGACUACUCAGAUAAUGACCAGUUCUACCAACAGGGGCACUGGGUACUUGGUCAUACAAGUCGAAAGCAGGACCGUGUUCUUCCGAGACAUGUCUGGAGAUUGCUGCUAGUACAGAUCAGGAUAUUGUAAAGUGAUUAGUUUGGUGUAUCUACAGCAAGGUUUAAAUAAUACCUUUGGGCGUGGAAUUGUUUUAGAUUUUCUGCAGUUCAAUUGGCAGUGGUUAAAUGUUCAACAGAAAAAGCACAACUGGGGCCCAUUAACUUCUAACCUUUUGCUAGUGGGAAUGGAAACUUGUAGGUGUGGUUGUUUGAACUCGAUGUCCUGUCAGUGUAAAGAAAACUUUUGUAUGGCCUUUUUGUUAGUGAAUGCUUCACAGCUUAUUUUUUCUGCUACUUGCUCUUGUCUUCCCUAGUGGUAAGUUCGAGGCUUUCAUUAGGCUUUAAUUAAGCAUAAUUUUUGCCAUUUUCUGUUGAUGCUUUUUAACAACUCAGUUCAUGACUUACAUGGAAUAAAUGUAAUAUGUAUUUGAUUAAUAAUCACUGUGGUAAGAAGUGAAAUUAAGUUUCUAUGCUGGUAAUUUUUAAAUAGAAUAAUCCUGUUCAGAAUUGUAAGUUUUACUCAGGAAGGAAGAUACCAAAAAGUUUCUUCAUUGUUGUAAAUAUUGUAGCUUUGUACAUGUGAGGUGAAGAUACAUAAUUUCUGGUUUUACAGUCAAACCUCGGAUUUCAUAUGCCCUGGUUUUUGUACAAUUUUGACUUGGGUUUCAUACAUAUCCUUGGAUUUUGCACACCAUAAAAUGCUCCUUCCAGUGCCUACCUUGUGACUAGGCCCCAUACUGAGCGCCCAAACAAAGCAUCCCAUGUUCUCUCGUGACUCAUUUUACUUUUGUGUUCAUUG